ACAAGCGGGAAUUCCCCUAGUUAGCCGGCGAGCGAAGCGGGAAGAGCUCAAAUUUAUAAUCUGGCGCUUUCAGCGUCCGAGUUGUAAUCUCUAGAAGUGUUUUCCGCGUUGGACCGCACAUAAGUCUGUUGGAAUACAGCGGCACAGUGGUGAGACCCCCGUUCACGGUGCGGAUGCCCAAUGCUUUGUGAUACACUUUCGAAGAGUCGAGUUGUUAGGGAAUGCAGCUCAAAUUGGGUGGUAAAUUCCAUCUAAAGCUAAAUAUUGGCGAGAGACCGAUAGCGAACAAGUACCGUGAGGGAAAGAUGAAAAGCACUUUGGAAAGAGAGUUAACAGUACGUGAAAUUGUUGGAAGGGAAACGCUUGAAGUCAGACUUGCUAUUCGGGGCUUGCUCCGAGUUGCAGGCCAGCAUCAGUUUUUCGGGGCGGAAAAUCACGGAUUGAAGGUAGCAGUUUCGGCUGUGUUAUAGCUUUCCGUUGGAUACGUCCUGGGGGACUGAGGAACGCAGUGUGCUUUUAGCGAGGGAAUCGGCUACUUUCACACUUAUAGGAUGCUAACGAUGCACAAUACUGCG
rnacentral:rRNA from 1 species